UGGGCCGUCAGCUCUCCCGGUCUCGCGUCGUUACCCCUGCGUGAAGCGGUGAGUCGCGCGCGGGUCGGCGAUUCACUUUGGGGGUCUCCGCCGCUGAACCCUCCUGAAAGACUGACCGGCGGAAACUGGGACUGGAGUGUGAGCACCUGAGGGUCUCUCCAGUGGGGCUUGGAGAGGAAUGUCUCAAAUGACUUUUCUUGAAAGCUGAGUGGUUCUACCCCUGGAAGCCUGCACAGCGUCUUCUUCUCCACCUGACCAACGGAAAAACUCAAGCAAAGGGUUUUUUAGUGAAUGACCAAGACAUCAUCAAGAAAGUAAGAAGACUACCCACAGAAUGGGAGAAAAUCUUUGCAAAUUGUAUAUUGACAAGGAACUUAUAUCCAGAAUAUAUAAAAAGAUAUUACAACUCAAUAAUAAAAAGACAACACAGUUAAAUCAUGGGCAAGGAAUUUGAAUAAACAUUCCUCAAAAAAAUUUAUACAAACUGCCAAUAUGCACAAGAAGAGAUACUCAACAUCACUAGUCAUUAGGGAAAUGCAAGUCAAAGCCACGAUGAGAUACCUCUUCACACCCACAAGGAUGGCUAUAAUAAAAACAGACAAUAACAAGUGUUGGUAAGGAUAUAGAGAAAUUGGAACCCUCAUAUAUUGUUGGUGGGCAUGUAAAAUGAUGCAUGUAAAACUUUGGAAAAUAGUUUGGUAGUUUCUCAAACUGCUAAACAUGGAAUUACCAUAAUACUCAUCAAUUCUACUCCUAGGCAUCUACUCAAGAGAAAUGAAAAUAUACCUCCACACAAAAGCUUAUACAUGAACAUUCAUAGCAGUAUUAUUUAUAGCGGUUAAAAGUGGAGACAACCCAUGUCCAUAAGUUGAUGAAUGGAUAAACAAAAUGUGGUAUAUCCAUACAAUGGAAUAUUUUCAGCCAUGAAAAAGAAUGAAGUACUGAUGUAUGCUACAACAUGGAUGAACCUUGAAAACAUUAUGCUAAGUGAAAGAAGCUGUUCAUGAAAGACUAUAUAUUGUAGAUAAGGCCUUUAAAGAGGUUAAGUUAAAAUGAGGUCUUUAAGGUGGGCCCUAAUUCAAUAUACCCAGCGAGACACCAGGAUCAGCCAUGCCCAGAGAAAAGAACAUCUGAGGACACAGCAAGAAGGCAGCCACAUGCAAGCUAAGGAGAGAGGCCUCAGGAGAAACCAGACCUGCUGACACGUUGAUCUUGGACUUUUAGCCUCCAGCACUGU